rnacentral:rRNA from 1 species
GACGAACGCUGGCGGCGUGCUUAACACAUGCAAGUCGAACGGAAAGGCCCGGCUCUUGUGGGUUUCUCGAUUGGCGAAGGGGUGAGUAACACGUGUGUAACCUGUCCUUGACUUUGUGAUAACUUCAGGAAACUGGGGCUAUUACCGGAUAUGAUCUCCUGCUGCAUGGUGGGGGUAGGAAAGUUUCGGCGUUUGGGGAUGGACUCGCUGCUUAUCAGCUUGUUGGUGUGGUUGGUGCGUACCAAGGCUUUGACGGGUAGGCGGCCUGGGAGGGUUACCGGGCACCUUGGGACUGAGAUACGGACCAGACUGCUACGUGAGGCAGCGGUGGGGAAUAUUGCACAAUGGGCGGACGUCUGAUGCAGCAACGCUGCGUGCGGGAUGCCCGCCUUCGGGUUGUAAACCGAUUUCGAAUGUGACGAAGCGUGCGUGACGGUAAUGGGUAAAGAAGCAACGGCUAACUACGUG